AACGAACGCUGGCGGCAUGCCUAACACAUGCAAGUCGAACGAGGCCUUCGGGUCUAGUGGCGCACGGGUGCGUAACGCGUGGGAACCUGCCCUUAGGUUCGGAAUAACUCCCCGAAAGGGGUGCUAAUACCGGAUAAUGUCUUCGGACCAAAGAUUUAUCGCCUUUGGAUGGGCCCGCGUUGGAUUAGCUAGUUGGUAGGGUAAAAGCCUACCAAGGCGACGAUCCAUAGCUGGUCUGAGAGGAUGAUCAGCCACACUGGGACUGAGACACGGCCCAGACUCCUACGGGAGGCAGGAGUGGGGAAUAUUGGACAAUGGGCGAAAGCCUGAUCCAGCAAUGCCGCGUGAGUGAUGAAGGCCUUAGGGUUGUAAAGCUCUUUUACCCGGGAUGAUAAUGACAGUACCGGGAGAAUAAGCUCCGGCUAACUCCGUG
rnacentral:rRNA from 1 species